AGGGUUCGAUCUGGCUCAGGAUGAACGCUAGCUACAGGCUAACACAUGCAAGUCGAGGGGCAGCAUAUCGAAAGCUUGCUUUGAUGAUGGCGACCGGCGCACGGGUGAGUAACGCGUAUCCAACCUUCCCUAUACUAGAGGAUAGCCCGGCGAAAGUCGGAUUAAUACUCUAUGUUGUAUUUCGAGGACAUCUGAAUAAUACCAAAGGUUUACCGGUAUAGGAUGGGGGAUGCGUCUGAUUAGGUUGUUGGCGGGUAACGGCCCACCAAGCCCACGAUCAGUAGGGGUUCUGAGAGGAAGGUCCCCCACAUUGGAACUGAGACACGGUCCAAACUCCUACGGGAGGCAGCAGUGAGGAAUAUUGGUCAAUGGACGAGAGUCUGAACCAGCCAAGUAGCGUGCAGGAUGACGGCCCUAUGGGUUGUAAACUGCUUUUAUACAGGGAUAAAGUGCACUACGUGUAGUGUUUUGUAGGUACUGUAUGAAUAAGGACCGGCUAAUUCCGUGCCAGCCGCCGC
rnacentral:rRNA from 1 species